UGGUGGGUAGCUCAGUGGUUAAAGCUUAGGCCUCGUAACCGAGAGGUCUCGGGAUCGAAUCCCGCUAGAGGUAG
rnacentral:tRNA from 1 species